rnacentral:rRNA from 1 species
GGCUCAGAUUGAACGCUGGCGGCAUGCUUUACACAUGCAAGUCGAACGGCAGCACGGACUUCGGUCUGGUGGCGAGUGGCGAACGGGUGAGUAAUAUAUCGGAACAUGUCCGGAAGUGGGGGAUAACGUACCGAAAGGUACGCUAAUACCGCAUAUGCCCUGAGGGGGAAAGGGGGGGAUCGUAAGACCUCUCGCUUUCGGAGUGGCCGAUAUCGGAUUAGCUAGUAGGUGAGGUAAAGGCUCACCUAGGCGACGAUCCGUAGCUGGUCUGAGAGGACGACCAGCCACACUGGGACUGAGACACGGCCCAGACUCCUACGGGAGGCAGCAGUGGGGAAUUUUGGACAAUGGGCGCAAGCCUGAUCCAGCCAUGCCGCGUGAGUGAAGAAGGCCUUCGGGUUGUAAAGCUCUUUCGGACAGAAAGAAAUCCUAUCCGCUAAUACCGGGUGGGGAUGACGGUACUGUAAGAAGAAGCACCGGCUAACUACGUGCCAGCAGCCGCGGUAAUACGUAGGGUGCGAGCGUUAAUCGGAAUUACUGGGCGUAAAGCGUGCGCAGGCGGCUUUGUAAGACAGAUGUGAAAUCCCCGGGCUUAACCUGGGAACUGCAUUUGUGACUGCAAGGCUAGAGUGUAGCAGAGGGGGGUAGAAUUCCACGUGUAGCAGUGAAAUGCGUAGAGAUGUGGAGGAAUACCGAUGGCGAAGGCAGCCCCCUGGGCUAACACUGACGCUCAUGCACGAAAGCGUGGGGAGCAAACAGGAUUAGAUACCCUGGUAGUCCACGCCCUAAACGAUGUCAACUAGGUGUUGGGGAAGGAGACUUCUUUAGUACCGCAGCUAACGCGUGAAGUUGACCGCCUGGGGAGUACGGUCGCAAGAUUAAACUUAAA